AUUUUUGUUUUGUUUUUUCGUGAUUGUUUCUAACUACAAUUUUAUUGAAAUUUUAUUCAGAUUUUUUACUCUUUUUAUUCAAUUUUUUAUGUUUUUAUUAUUAAAUAAAGUCCAGAUAGAUAUUCAAGUAUCUAAUAAAUAAGGUGAAACCUUGAAUAAACUCAUUAACAGAGUUUAUAUCGACGGUUUUUGGUUUAUCAUCAUCAUCAUCAUUCUCAUCUUUCAAUUCAUUAUCAACUUUAAUAUCUUCUACAAAGCAAUGAAUAAAAUAUUACCAGUCUGGUAAAUGAUGCAAAGCCUUAGCUGACUGAGCUGAUGAGGAUUGAAAAGAGGAAAAAAGGAGGAGGUUUUGAUGGAGGGAGGGUAGGGUGGUAAGGGAGUGAUUCUUUUCUCUUUUCCUUACAUGAUAAAUAAUGAACACACAGGACAUCCAAGAGCUUGUACUCUGCGUAUAUUGCUUUUCAUGGUAGAUGUAAAGCUUCCAAUCUCAUCAUCAAACACCAUCUUUAUGCCCGGCCUACAGAACUCUGGGUAAGAAAUAGCAUGAUAUUUGCUACAAAAAAAUGUAUAAAAUUGAUUAAUGGUUAUAACAACACGCUACAUCAAAAACAAUGCAUAAAACAGGGAAUAUUCAUUUCAUCCCAACAAGAGCCUUUCUCGGAGCACCCAAAAGAGUGUUUUCCAUACAUUUAUCCACUCAAAUGUUGGUUCAGAGCAAAGAUUAAAGUGUUUAAUCUUUGGUUUGAAGUCAAUUGUAAUCUAACUUCAUGUUAACCCAGGAACACUGUCUGGUCAAUAUUGAUUGAUAUCCAUAAUUGGUUUAAUUGAGGCCUCAAUUGUAAUGAAUAUAAAGAAGACGAUAACAAUAAGGAGACCAAUUUGAUCGUGAUUUGCAAAACUGUUAAUUAAUGGUUAAUCAUUUUAUUUUAAAGCUACAACAAAUUUGGUUCAAGUUUUUUUUUAAUUUGUAGGUCCAUAUGAAGAUGAGGAUGACAUUUAAAAGUGGAUUUUCGUAUCUCUCGUGGGUAACCUAAGUGGCGAUUACUCAUCUUGUUUGAUAAUUUAUUACUUGCAACAACAAAAUGGAGUCAAAGUAAAGAGCAAAAACUGGCCUCAACAUUUUUUUCUUGAAAGAAAAGUCAAGGAGGAAAAAAAACGGAUAAGACCAAUCAAGUUUCAACUUUGUAAAGAUUAAAAAUCAUCUUGUGUCUCAUUUUACGUCAGGAUUUUUCUUCAUCUUCUUCAUCAUGUUUCCAAUGCCUUGGGCCAAUUAGCUACUGAUUUUCUUGAUCAUCAUCAUACCUUUUUUACCACCACAAUCUAAUGGAUUUGGAGGAGACAUUCUUGAUAUUCAUUUACACUCACAAGUAGCUACAAGUUAUCACCUAUUCACUGGCAAGAAACACAUGAAAUUGUAAUUAUCAGCAGCAAAAAUUGUAAUUGCAAUGGAAAUUCAACUGACAGCUUUAAAUAUAUUAUCAUCUAUUAUGGUUUCCAUUAUAAAUUACAGUUUAAUAUAAUAAUAAUAAUAUUAUUAUUAUUCAACAUUUCAACCAACACCAAUCAUUUUUAAUACGCCAACUUUGUGGUUACCUUUUAAUAUCAAUGGUGUUAGUUUAGUUAAUGUUAUAAUAAUUUACUCUUGCUUUUGUUUAAUUGCUCUUUUUAAUGUACCUUCAUUUGUAUUAUCAAUCUUGUUGACCAAAAUUGAUUUUUGCUUCUCCUUCUCUCUAUCCACUAAUUAAUUACAAUCAAUUGAGUUGUUUGCCAUUUGCUUGCGCACAAAUUAAAUGUUCAAUUAAGCGUAAUUAAUGGUUUCAAGGAGUAAAAUGAUUGUGAUUGUAACUUAUUUUACCAAAUAAUUACCUUUACUCUCUUAUUAAUAUUACAUGUUCUCUCUCUAA